UACGGAGGAUGCAAGCGUUAUCCGGAAUGAUUGGGCGUAAAGGGUCCGCAGGUUGCAAUGUAAGUCUGCUGUUAAAGAGUGAGGCUCAACCUCAUAAGAGCAGUGGAAACUACAUAGCUAGAGUACGUUCGGGGCAGAGGGAAUUCCUGGUGUAGCGGUGAAAUGCGUAGAUAUCAGGAAGAACACCGGUGGCGAAAGCGCUCUGCUAGGCCGUAACUGACACUGAGGGACGAAAGCUAGGGGAGCGAAUGGG
rnacentral:rRNA from 1 species